rnacentral:rRNA from 1 species
UACGUAGGGUGCGAGCGUUGUCCGGAAUUACUGGGCGUAAAGAGCUUGUAGGUGGUUUGUCGCGUUGUUCGUGAAAUCUCACGGCUUAACUGUGAGCGUGCGGGCGAUACGGGCAGACUAGAGUACUGCAGGGGAGACUGGAAUUCCUGGUGUAGCGGUGGAAUGCGCAGAUAUCAGGAGGAACACCGGUGGCGAAGGCGGGUCUCUGGGAAGUAACUGACGCUGAGAAGCGAAAGCGUGGGUAGCGAACAGG